rnacentral:rRNA from 1 species
GAUGAACGCUGGCGGCGUGCCUAAUACAUGCAAGUCGAGCGAACGGACGAGAACCUUGCUUCUCUGAUGUUAGCGGCGGACGGGUGAGUAACACGUGGAUAACCUACCUAUAAAACUGGUAUAACUUCGGGAAACCGGAUCUAAUACCGGAUGAUAUUUUGUACCGCAUUGUUCUAAAGUGUAAGACGGUCUUUCUGUCUCUUAUAGAUGGAUCCCCGCUGCAUUAGAUAGUUGGUAAGGUAACGGCUUAACAAGGCAACGAUGCAUAGCCGACCUGAAAGGGUGAUCGGGCACACUGGAAUUGAGACAGGGACCAGAGUACUAAGGGAGGGAGAAGAAGGGAAAAGUACGAAAUGGGUGAAAAAAUGAGGGAGAAAAGCCGGGUGAGUGAUGAAGGUAAUAGGAGCGUAAAAAUCUGUUAUUAGGGAAGAAAAUAUGUGUAAGUAAGUGAGCACAGCAUGACGGUAGCUAAUCAGAAAGCAACGGCUAAAUACGUG